rnacentral:rRNA from 1 species
UACGUAGGGGGCAAGCGUUGUCCGGAAUUACUGGGCGUAAAGAGCGUGUAGGCGGGAAUUUAAGUCAGAUGUGAAACCUUCGGGCUCAACCUGGAGCAUGCAUCUGAAACUGAAUUUCUUGAGGGUAUGAGAGGAAAACGGUAUUCCUAGUGUAGCGGUGAAAUGCGUAGAUAUUAGGAGGAACACCAGUGGCGAAGGCGGUUUUCUGGCAUACAACUGACGCUGAGACGCGAAAGCGUGGGGAGCAAACAGG